GACUCGAGACACAGUCCUGGGAGGGACAGUGAGUGCUCCUCAGACGAGGAGGAGAUCAAUGUUGAGGACGACGAGCCCUCCCUGCCCCUCCUCCAGAACGAUUCGCCCCUAGACGCUCUCAUGAAGAUGGCCAACAAAACCUUCGAAGGUCUAGAAACAGCGGAGACUGCAGAAGCAAAACGAAGAGAACAAGCAGCCUUAUUUGGAAAACACCAACCGCCGAAAAAACGUCGAAAAUCCCGAACAGCGUUCACCAACCAACAGAUCUAUGAGCUGGAGAAACGUUUCUUGUAUCAGAAGUACCUCACGCCGGCCGACAGGGAUGAAAUCGCGCAAAAUCUCGGACUAUCAAAUGCUCAAGUGAUCACAUGGUUUCAAAAUCGCAGGGCCAAGUUGAAACGCGAUCUAGAGGAAUUGAAAAAUGACGUUACUGCAACACAAAUUCUGAAAACUUCUUCCAUAAAGGACGGUGAUGAGUCCGAAAGGUCAUUCACUACGGAUCCCGAUCCCGAUGUGUCGCGGUCGGCCGAUGAAGACGAUUGUGAGCCCUCACCUCCAAAAGUGCAGAGGACUUCCGAAAGUGAGGCAGAAAAUGCUUCGGAAAAGGACGAUUGUUCGGAUAUUGACAUGGAGAUACAUUCACCCUGAUGUGACGGCAUAAGCUGUGCUCUUAACUGGUUUCGUCCGUAAAAGGUUCAGUUUGAUUUAUUUACAUAUCCCAAAAUGUGCCAUCUUCUCCCAGUCUCGUAUCAAUUUGCUUUUCUGUUAAUGUUACGGAAGGCAGCCUCCUUAGGACUGAUAUAGACUCUGAACCCCUGAGUGGUCCGUGGAAAGAGCUUCCAUGGAGAACGAGUUCUUCCUUGGAUGUCGACGGCCUGUGACUAGAUUAGUGAUAUGUCCAGUGCAUGUGUCAAACGAGUGUAGCCGACACGCCUCACCCUCGCUGCAGACUUACGAAGUUUUCAUCAGAUCUUUAUAGCUAUUGCAAGUCUUAUUUGGAAUCUAGAAACUGCAUGCCGCUUUGUCUUAAUACAGAUAUGUAUGCAAUACACUGUAAAUUGUAUCGCGCUAUUUUCUUGCUCUGAACCCCAACCCCACAGAAUGACACGAGUCAAUGUUGCUACAAUAGCGUGAGAGACGUAGAUUUUCACUAGCGGAAGUGAGAAUUCUGGUUCCGGCACGUGGUUCUGCCAGUCCAGCUAAUCAUGUUCCUGAAUUUUUAUUUGAUUGUAAAUGAGAAAUCAUGGACAUAUAAAUAUAUAAUUAUAUAUG
rnacentral:misc_RNA from 1 species